rnacentral:misc_RNA from 1 species
UCCGGUUUGUCACCGGCAGUCUCCCUAGAGUGCCCUUGCGUAGCAACUAGGGACAAGGGUUGCGCUCGUUGCGGGACUUAACCCAACAUCUCACGACACGAGCUGACGACAGCCAUGCAGUACCUGUGUAUCGGUUCUCUUUCGAGCACUUCCGCCUCUCAGCAGAAUUCCGACCAUGUCAAGGGUAGGUAAGGUUUUUCGCGUUGCAUCGAAUUAAUCCACAUCAUCCACCGCUUGUGCGGGUCCCCGUCAAUUCCUUUGAGUUUUAAUCUUGCGACCGUACUCCCCAGGCGGAUGACUUCACGCGUUAGCUGCGUUACUAAAGGAUUUAACUCCUCCAACAACUAGUCAUCAUCGUUUAGGGCGUGGACUAC